ensembl:snRNA U6 U6 spliceosomal RNA
GUGCUCACUUCAGUAGCACAUACACUAAAAUUAGAACAAAACAAAGAAGAUUGGUACAGCCCUAUCAUAAAUAGGAUACUAAAAUUCAUGAAUUUCUUUUAUUCUUU